rnacentral:lncRNA from 1 species
GUAGGCAGUAAACAUUAUCUUUUAUUAAUUUUUUUUAGUGUGCAAGCGAUAACAAACAGGCUUGGUACGCCACGAUAGCUAUAUCAUGCAUGAAAAGACAUUCAAGAGAGGUUAUUUACGUGGUUUACAUAUAAUCUGCACGUUUUAAGUUUAACGUUUGUCAAGAAGGUGGGUAUCUGGAGCUGGCCUGUAUUUCCAAACAACAGGGAUUGUGAGCUCUUGUGACAAGCUGGAAGCAAGCUCUAUACCUAUGUAUGUGUUCUUUAUGCCCCUGUUGCGUACAGCAGUGUAAUGAGUACUAUGAGGGUAGUGCCUGAGGCGAGUAUAGAUAGAGUUCCAACUCUCUGCAGGGGGCAAACUAAAAGAGGAGCUAAUAAAUCCUCAAGUUAUGAGUAGGUCUGGACGGUAGGUGAGCAAGUUAGCUGAUAUCUUUGGGGGUGAGGGUGCUCUGUGGCCCGGUCAGUGUAUGGCUGAUGGUGCCGGUACCUGUGUUGCUACGGUACUGCAGUGAGAGAGCGAGCUGGAUACUGCUCUUGGCUGAGGGGGAGCAAGCGUGGGUAUCUAGGUAACCUUUUUUGAGCAUAUUGGGCUUUUCUCUAACUAAGAGCUAUCUGCAUGUCAGAACCUGAACUCAGUGUUCAAUGGUGGGCUUAGUGUUCAUGUGCCAGGAAUGUUAGGGCUAGUCCUUGGGUCAGGAGGGCCACAGGUAUGUGGUGGUGGCCUCUUCUUGCUGCCAGAGCUCCAUCAGGUGCAUAGUUCUCUGCAACAAGUCGUUGGGGCACAAAAGGGAUAGCCGUUGCCGGGUUCCCUAACCCGGAAGGUGGGGAGGUGGUGCGUGGUCCGAUUGAUGGUAAGGAGUCCUUCUGUAGGCCCAGGGUGGGAAGGAGUUCUCUCGCACCCUGCAGGUCGUGGAUGGUGUAUGUGGAGUCAGCCUGAUGUAUUUGCAGCGCGUGUGGUCCCCUCCACUUAUAGUCGAUGUUUUGCGUGCGGAGGAGGGAUGUGAGGGGCUGUAGCGAGCAGCGCCAUACCAGUGUGGACUUUGACAGGUCCAUGUAGAAAGACAUCGACUGGUUUUCAAAUAGGUAAGGAGAUUGAUUGCGCGUUGCUUUUAUCACCGCAAUUUUGUGUCUGGUGCUGGGAAAGCGCACUAGGAGAUCCCUAGGUAGCGUGCUAUGAGCCUUGGCGGGCCUCGGGAUACUGAACAUCCCCUCUGGGUUCUCCUGCUUUGUGUGCUUGGGGUUUAGGAGGGCUGUUAUGAGUCGCCUUACAAAGUGCAGUACCUUGGCCUCCGGCAUCUCCUCUGUGAUCCCCUGGAUCUUAAUAUUUCUGCUUCGCCUCUGGUCUUCUAAUGCUGCAAAUUUUAGGUCGUAUUUAAGGUUCUGCAUCUGCAGUUCAUGUACUGCUUGUUGUAGGUGCUUGAUGUGUUUGGUAUUCUGGUUGGAAUCUUGCUCCAGUAUGUUCAUGCGGCCAGUCAGGCCCUGUAGGUCUUUGCGUAUCUGGGUAAUGUCGGCCUGUAUGGUGAGCUGAACCCACCAGCAGUUCCUUCAGGAUCGCUGUGGUGAGUGGUGGCGAUUCCGGUUGUGGAGGGACCGGGAGAGGAGCCUUCGGGGCGGGUGGGGCUCUGCCUUUAUUCCGAGCAUAAAAUCAUCUGAAACGUUGGAGCAGUCGUCGGUUAAGGCGGCCAUGUUUGGGCCUAUGGCACCCUGUGCUUGUCUCCAGAAGUCACGAUGCUCAUGUUCUGCGGAGGUUUGUCGGGUCUAGACUUUUUGGUCUUCCACCCCAAGUACGUGGGUUUUGGGAUGUGUUUGAGGUGUAAUAGUAGCUUUUUGGCCCGGAGCUCGGACAGCAUGCGGCCAUUCAGUUCAGUGGCUUGGGUCCGCCCCCCAGUAAACACUAUCUGAUGGGCAGAGGCAUAUGAUCUUUGAAUGAAGCCGAGCCAUGUGGUGUCAUUAUUUAAAAGGUUAAAGGUUUUUGCCUUCUUUCAUGCUUUCUGCUUAUAAUUUUUCUCCUUAAAGAGGCACUGUCACCAUCUGAGUACUUUGAAGAAUUUGCAAAGACAGUGACAAUGCUGCUGGGAUUCAGUGUCCAUUUUAUUUAUUUUUUUAAAGUCUAGUGUAGAAAAACUAGAAAAAGUAGUCCUUUGAAACUAAAAAACAAGACAAAUAGAUAAAUAGAUGAAAAAUUUAAAAAUAGAAAGACAAAGUAGGAAAGAGAAGAGGUAGCCAUAGGGAAAAGGUAGGAACGGCAUGUCAGUGCCGCUUUAACCCAGUCUCCUCGGUCAAUUCCUCCACAGACCGUUCAGUCACUGCCAACAGUGUGACGUAAUGGAAGACACAAUUUUAAGCUUUGCCCAAGAUUCAUUCCGACAGUCAACUGAAACAAAUUAGGAGUAAGGAAAAAAAAAAAAUGAAAGGGGGGGAAUGAAAACUAUAGCCCCAAAAAUAUGCGUUCCUUUGUAUUUUUCUGACCUCUGUCCACCCCCUUUGAUGUUAAAAUAGUUUAUUUUAAUGUUUUACUCACCUUGUUUCCAGCACUCAAGCAUCUCUGCUGCAGCCACACACCACACCUCCAUCGGCAAGUUGACCUGACCAUACAAAUGGGNNNNNNNNNNNNNNNNNNNNNNNNNNNNNNNNNNNNNNNNNNNNNNNNNNNNNNNNNNNNNNNNNNNNNNNNNNNNNNNNNNNNNNNNNNNNNNNNNNNNUGUUAGCGUUUUGAUACAGGGGUGUGUUUGUAUAUAAUGUUUGCAUUUGUGUGCAGGAGUGUGCUUGGAUGUACAGCUUGUUGUUAGCUUUUAAAUGCGGAUGUACAUUUGUGUGUAGCAUUAGUGUUUGAGUGAAGGGUGUAAAUAAAUUUGAAAUUUGAAUCCAGGGUUUUUUUUUUAUGUAAUGUUUGUGUUUGCAUGCUGUGUUGGUGUUUGAUUGCUGGGAUGUAUGCACAUAUGAUUGCUGUACUUAUGCCACAUACAUACAUACACAAACAAAUUAACACACAGACACACAUAAAAACGUUGACACGUACACACAUAUUCAUUUACACACUGACAUAUACACACAGACACAAAGAUACACACCUUGACACAUGCACAGACCUUGGCACACAGAUACACAGUGACACAUGCACUAACCUUGACACACACUGACACACACUCAGACACACAUACUCUUUGACAGACAAACAUACACUCUCACUGGCAAACACACAUACACUCUCAUUGACAAGCGCAUACACUCAUUGACAAACACACAUACACACUCAUUGACAAGCACACAUACACACUCACUGACACACACACAUACACUCACUGACAAGCACACUCUCAUUGACAAGCACACAUACUCACUGACACACAUACACACUCACAAACACACACGUACACACUCACAGACAAACACACACACUCACUGACAAACACACAUAUACUCUCAGUGACAAACACACACACACACACACUGACAAACACACAUAAAAACUCCUUAACAGACACACACAAUUUUUAAUUUCACUCCAGCCUCCCUACCUUUGGGAGUACUGUCAUGGAGCCUCUAUUUCCGUGGGGUCCAGUGGGGCUGAGCGGCUGGCGUGAGGUCCCUCGCUGCCCGCCUCAAUUAUCAGCGAGACCUGACCGGGCCAAAUCGCAGCGUCCAUUUUGUUUGCCGGAACUCCAUUUGUGAACACCAAUUGGAAAACACUGGAUUAGACUACUAAGAACCAUAGCACCCACUGUCAGGAAACCGUUAAUUUAGGAGUAAUUUUAAUGACGAAGAAAGAAAAUGAAACAUAUUAACAAGUGUCCUUCUAGUGCAGUUGUAUUAAGGAGAUAUGUUAUCUAAAGUAUGGCAGUUGCUUAACCCGUUCCUUCUCAAGAAGCAUCUUAAUGUAGUGGUUUUGCUGCAUUUUCUCUUUAAAAGUAAAAUAUUGCCAUAUGGCCAAAAUGCUGCUCCAGAGCCUGUCAGACAAACGACCGUUAGACGUGUUUUCUCCUUACAUGCUUCAAUUUUGAUACGGACUUUACAUUAGGCAAUAUCUUGUGCAGCGUGAUGACCUAGAGCAGCUAACGCUUCUCAUAGAGAACUGGAUUGUUGAGAAAUGGUGAUUGGCAAAAACAUGUUACUUAAUACUUAGUACCUAAUGCUUAUGUAUGAGAAGUAUCUGAUUGGACGAGAGAUCAUCAUGGUCGUCUAAAUUUAAAUUGGCUCUGGUUUUUAUUUUAUUUUUUUGGGGUGGAGGUCAUGGUUUAGAAUGUCCAAGUCUGGUUAUCAAGGCAACUAAACCAUUAGAUUUCAGACACUAGUUGGCUUGUCUGGAAGAUUGGCAACCUCAGGAGCUUACGAGGUAUGUCCAAAGGCUAUAGCUAUAGGAAGUAAACUGUUUGUACGGUACAUUCAAUGUACUGCGGACGUUCUGGAUAUUGCAUACAACUGCCCAGACAGAUACAUAUAAAUAUUGAAUCUAGUCAAUAUGGAUAGAUUUGUUCUCCGCAUAUAGCAUAGUAUAUAUCAGAGAAGGUGUCAUCAAAGUACACCACUCAGUUUUCAGAAGCUGAUAUUUUUAGCAAAUAUUAAAAGUUGCCAUCUGGAUCCUAAUUGAUAGAGAUAGUGCCCCACAUUGGAAAUUCAACAGACCAAACUUCAUGCUUCCUCCACUUUGCUCAGAAUCAUUCUCUACCAUCUGUUAAAAAAAUCAUGCACACUAACCCAUUUCAUCAGCUCUAAUGUAUAGAUAGCAAUACCACCAUCUGACUAUACUUCUAUGUGAAUAUCAUUUGUGAGAAAUGUUCCCCUAUAUACAGUUUUACUUUAAUUAGAGGGGAAAAACAAACAAACAUGUUGCCCGUGUUUCCAAAUCAAUCUUAAUUUAGAGAUGAUAAGAUAUACUGUAGAUGAGGCAAAGAACAGACAACGCUGUCUCAUAUAGGACCAGAUUUUUGACAAAUUUAGGAACCCAAUGUAGGAUUCUAUUUUUUACCAAAUUGCAGCAAUGGAUAGAGGUUCCACUGCCAUAUGCAUUUCAGAAGUGGCAGGAGUUAAAGAGAUAUGACAGCAUGAAGAUAGUGGCACCGAUCAGGGACAAAGUCAUAUAAAUAAAACCUACCAAACUUCUAUUCUCUUGGGCAGAGGACACUCUCUAAUUAGGCAAUUUAGGCAGUCGCCUAAGGCCUUGCAUGGUGUGGGGCCGCCUAAAUCCCCAUUGGGCAGACUGACAUGUCGGGUCUUUGACCUAUGACCAAGGGCCCGACACAGAAGGGGGCCCCACGGCUUGCCUAUAAAUGACUGGAGAUCACGAGACUUACCACGCGGUCUGCAGCUCUGCACCUGGUGGAGCUGCAGAGCGGACAGGAAGCCCACUGGACCACCAGGGAUACAGCCUGCCCACCGGACCACCAGAGAUACAGCCUGCCCACCGGACUACCAGGGAAUCAAUUUAAUAAAAAGGUAUUUAUGACCCCCAGCCCUGUCACAGUCUCAGCUCCCCCCACCACCUCCUACCUUGUCACAACCCCCUACCACUCCCUGCCCUGUAACAACCCCCCUAUUACUCCCUGCCCUGUCACAGCCCCCCUACCCUGUCACAGCCCUCACCACACCCUGUCAUCCCACACCCACCCUGUCACGGCCCACCGCACACCUUGUCAUCCCCCACCCAUACCCUAUCUUUACCACACACACUGACAACCCUUCACACACACUGUCACCAUUCCCAAACACUUUCAGUCCCCACGACACUGCAAGCCUCUGAACAAUGAAUAUAGAGACUAGCGCUGCAAGCUUGUCCUUCAUUACAACUACAGCACCUUAGACACACAAUGCAACCCUUUAUUUAUUUUUAGUUUGGGUGUUAGUGGGGGCCUCAUGUUUGAGUUUCGCCUAAGGCAUCACAAAAUCUAGAGCCGCCACUGCUCUCGUGUGUCACAAGCAGACAUUUCACUUUGGAGGGUCUUUGCAAACCACAGUAUUCUGCAAACCAAGUACAUGCAAUAAACUUUUAUUAACAAGCUUCUUUUUUAUGUAAAUUAGAUAUCCUAAUUCUCCUAAAUAAAGAGGUCUCCAUGAGAUGCAACAAAGCAUGGCUUAAAACUUGGUUAAACUCAUGCAUGUCUCACAAAGCAUAGAAUAUAAUAUUUUCAUUUUCAGAGGAGUGAUAGCAUACCUCAGAAUCUGGGGGACGCUCCCUCGUGGCCCUCUUACCCCAUCCAGUGACACAACUAAUGUCAAUGACCAUAAUGGGAAAGCCCACCCACUGGCAGGCUGCCGGGCCGCCCCCCCAGCUCUCAGGGAGCACUGCUGAAGCACUCCCUGCAUGGUCCUAGUGCCCACUGGAAAGCGCGAUCCCAUCUAAUGAUGUGCUUAACUGGUGUCCCCAGAUGUAGGGCACCGGGGAACUUAGGCGAAAGAGGUCAGACAGAACUACAAAAUCAGGACUGUUGGAAGGCCUGUGAUAGCUUCAGUAUCGGUUCAUAGAUAUCAGACAGAUUUAUACCUAUGAACUUCUGCCCUCGGGAAGUUAGAAUGCGUGGGCAAAAUCCUGAGGGGCACUGCCAGUGACGCAAGCUGCAUCAUUAGCUCAGCCCACAAUCGGUGGAGCUGCCCAGAACAGGGAUAGUGUCAUCCAAAAAGGUUCGGGACUGCCCAAAAGAGGGACCCCACUGGGAGGAACCCCAAUAUCUGGACUAUCCUGGUUGGGAGACACUUAUGUGUUACGUUGUUGUGGAGGAAUAGCUUAGUAUCACAGGCUACAGUACACCCACUGCAACAACUCUAGUGCCACCCUUAAAUCUGGUAUUGUAACUAGGCCUCCGACUCCUGUAUCCAACUAGAUAAGAUCACAAUGAGGUAAAAUAAAAUAUUUGAUUAACAUAUUCCACUUUUGUAAUAUGCAUGCUUUCUGUUACAUUUUUCUGUUUUAUUUAGAUUCUAAUUCAAACAAUUUCCAUUUACUUAUGACUUAAAUUUAAUUGACUUUAAUAAAAUAAUGAUCAGCAGAAUGGAGAGCACAGCAGUUUUUGAUGUGUUUGUGGUUCAAUGUUCAUAUUCACUUGAUUGCAUUUUCUUUUACUUUAAUUAUAUUUCUUUCGUCAAUGGAAUAAACAUUUUUUUUCCUUUUGACAUUUUUCAGUUUUUAAUAAUGUAAGCUCUAUAUUGGAUUUAUUAAACAGAAAGUCUCAUUGCUCAAUGAAAUUGUAUUUUAUGCACAACCUUGUAUUACUAAUGAAUACCUGAGAGUGUGCAUUAAAAAUGUAAGAAAUUAAAUUGCUCCUGAUGCUCAAUAUACCAGCAUUCGUCAUUUCAAGUUACUAAAUUAAUAUUUAGACCUGCUCAUGAUUGAGAUGUAGUAUUAAAAACAAAAUUUGUCCUGAAAUCACAAUCCUGGGAUCUCUCUGAUCUUAAUAAAUCACAGAAUGCGCUUUUAGAUUUACAUUUCUUAUGUAUACUUAAUGCAAGGUUGUACAGAUAAAUUAUGUCAGCAGAUUAAUUGAUUCCUGUAGUCUGUAUAUUGUUAGACCGGCCCUCGAAAUCCUAGAUCAUGUUUAAUUCUACUCAUAACGUUGUAAACCAAUCUCUACUCUAAUUUAUGUUACAAAAUAUUGCCAUGCAUCUAGUCCCUUAAGGAAUAUGGUUUCUCAUUUUUUAUUUAUUUCUCUUUUUAAUCUAAUACUUGCUACUAGGGAUAGGGAGGAUCAAAUGCAUUAUUAUUCUGAACACAGCAAGUUACAGUGCAGUUAUUCAACAUAUUUGGUGUAAUAAAAAAAAUCAAAAACAACAAACAAUAUUUUACACCGUGCAUUUAAACUAUAAAACUGUAGCAGCCAUUGUAUGUCAGAUAAUUAAUUUACACAAAUAGCACUUCAAAUCAUUAAACUAAAACAUGAGACAAAGACUGUACCCACAAACUAUACCACGGGCUUGCGCUCUCCUGAAGAAUGCUUCUGAUUAUAAAAACACAAAUGGACAAAGCAUAAAAAUGUAAAUAUAUACCAUUAUGUGAUUACAUUGACAAAUGGGCAAAAAAAAUUAAAACAGAUGUGCACCAUUCAGACUUCUCCUUCCACUACAGAAUAUUCCUCGAAACACCAUGUAUACUUCUACUUGAAUUACAGAACAUGUAAAUGGUUCCCCUACUGACUCAAGCGUUCGUACAGCAAAACUACAAUUUAUUGUAACAAAAGAUCUCACAUUAAAUACCACUAUACUCCUCAAUAAGACACCCGUCUGGUGACAAUGCACAUUUAUUUUCCAGUGUAAUCCUCUACUUUCCUGAUGGUUUCUUGCAUUGUCAACCUGGGGGUGUCCUCUAUCCUGACAUCGCUCCUCAAAAUGGGGCUCUCAAAUGCAUCAAUUCCAGCCUUCCCUCUGGGCUAGAUUUACAUAUUUACAGGUGCCUGUUGGCACAGAAUUCUAAGGAACCCUCAAUUCAUAAAUUGCACUGCUUGCUUUGACUAACGAUUGUAUACACUCUUGACUUUGAUAUCUACACUCUUCACUCUUGGCGAUGUUGCCACAGUAAUGCAUAACUAUGAGGUGAUACAAAAAUAAAGAAUUAAAAAAAAAAAAAAAAACUUCUAUUAGUACAGCAAAUGCUAAACUGGUGGUGUGUCAAAAAUACUCUUGGAAAUUCAAUAACCCCCAAAUAUUCUAGAGGCAAUAUGCUUAUGUGGCUUCCCUCCAGGUUGCUUACAAUACACUUGUCAAAGGAAGCUAGAAUAUAUGGUGGUAUAGGGAAGUGCUGUGUGUAUUUCCCUGUUACACAUUUCUCCCUCUCCUUUCAGUCCAGUUGACAUAAUAGACACACAGCAAGUCCAAAGGCAGCAUUGAGAGUUGUGUACAAAAUGAUAACAGUACCUACUUCUCAAGUGAAAUUACAUUUUAUUUAUGUACAGGCAACUGAGGGUCAUGUCUUAGUUGCCAACCAAGGUUAUAUAGACAACAUUUUAUUUACGUGGAAUGAGUCCUCUGGGGAACUAGAGACAUUGUUGAUAUUCCUAAGGGAUAAUAAUUAGGAAGUAUAUUUAACAUUUUACCUGUGAUCAAGUUCAUGUCACACGAAAUGUGGAAAGUGGAAUCCUUGCUGGCUUAAUAACAUCUAGAAAGUGGCAUCUGGCAUGAUACUACCUUUCAUAUUUUUGAACUCAAAUGUUUUGAUUGAUUUUAUUAGACUUCAUUCUACAGUUGUUCCUGCGGAAGGUGGCAUCUUCUGAGUACUUGGGGAAAUUUAUAUGGAGGACAAUAAAAAAAAAAUCAAUAAAUAAAAAAGUAGAUUAAGACAUAAUUCCGCAGAAGAAAUUGUAUAUGUUGAUCAGGCAGAAGACUUAUAGAGGGGAACAAAUAUCCACAGGACAUAUUGAAUAAAACAAACAAACAUUCUUAGAAGUACUGGAUAAAACCCGAAGAGAUCUAUUAAACAUGAACAGAACUCAGAUACGUAAAGGUAUGCAGCAAAUAACCGUUAUUGACUUUUAUAAACAAUGUGAAAAGUGAGGGUAUUUAUAGUUUUCUGUAAACAAAUUCAAGUUACACCUACGGUUGCUUAGAGAGGUUACCAAGUUUUAAAUGCAAACUGUUAUUGAAGUAAAACAUUUAUAGAUAUCCCUAAAUAUAUUUUUAGAUGCAAUAAUUAAAUAACAGUUUUUAUUUUACUUGGUUUUUAUGUCUGUUUGUUCUAUUGCUUGUUUGUUUUUUUAAGCAAAUGGGGGUGGACAGAAGGGAACCUUCAGUCCUUAAAUAACGAUUGUUAUUUUUGGGACUGUACAUUCUCUUUAAUCAAGGUGUAUUAGUCAGUUUUAGAGACUGUAGCAAUAGGACAUUUAGGCAUCCAAAAAGUGAAACAUGAUUGGAGAAGUAGUGAAUACAUAAAAAGAAUAGGUCAGAAAGUAAUGAAUUGAGUACAUUUAGCAGGUUAUAAUUUUUUAUUUUUUAAAUUGGUUUGAGCUUUUCCUUACCUGGUACCCUGCAUAGCCACGUUCCAGUGGUGGCAGAAAUGGGUCAGAGAUUCCAGAAGCUACAGCAUCUACAGCUAAAGACUCCUGUGAUAUCAGCACGCUGCUGCAUUGUACCCCAUGCACCAAGAUAGCGGGCCCUGUUGACUCAGAGGCCUAUACCUCCCAGUUGGAGGACAGUGAUGUUGACAGAGACCCUCCACCCCCUUUAGCAACCCCAAGGUUGCUGCCCAGGUGGAGCCAGAGAGUGCAUUCUAAACUACUAAACAGGACAGCCACAAUUUAUUUAAGGACAUUCAAAGCAGUUUGUGGCUGAACUGGCGGUUGUGAAUGUAGAGGUGCAAGCUGUAUAAGGCUAUCAACCCUGAAAAGGCUCGAAAUUUAAAUUUGCCAUUGGUCAAUGGGGCACAAGUGUGUUCAAGACCCACUCUGACAUGAUUUUAGGAAUACCCAACAAGCAGAACUUAAGCUACUAACUAUAAUUAGGAUAACUAGGAUACUAAAGCCUAUUACCAGAUUGGCUAAAUUUAACGCUAAUAAUAUAGAAUAGUACAGAACAGGCCAAGAUCAGGUGAGACCAAGAGCAUGUAAACGGUAAGGCAAGCCAGAAUCAAGGAAUACAAAAUGAAGAAUAGUCAAGGUACAAGCCGAGUCAAAAUACAAAAGAAUCAAUAAAUGAUGUGCUCUCGGAUAACCACAACAAGGCACUGAGAUAGAAUUCAAAGGAGCUUAAAUAGUCCUAAGAGGAGGGGGGCGGGGCCUGACAGCAGAGUGGAGCAGUCGCAUGUUGCUGCUGCUGCUCCAGCUUCUAAACUUACAUACCGCCGAUUAUCGACGACCUGAGGUUGUAAACCAACUUCUUGUGACUCUCAAGCGACAGAGGCUACCGAGACCUACGUGAAGACACCAAGCAGGUGGAUCUUCGCACCGAUUCCGACCCGCCCGAGGUUGCGGCCUACAAGCAUGGCGGCGGUGGGGGAGACGGCCGCUCUCCCGCCGCUGAAACAAUCUGCGAGACAAAGUUUGUGCCUCCGUUCCCCCCCCUAUGGACCGGUGGGGGUUAUCCCGGACCCACCAACUGGACACACAUAAAUGCAAGGACUGCAGCUACCCACUUAGGACUGGACUCCAGAUGCUCCGGGCCCAGCCACAAGGCGGGAACAUCGCGGUCCGCAGGACCUAAACCCUCGCAACCGCAACCCACAAGCCUGGACCUUAUAUUCCAGCAAUUUUGGGAUAAGCUGGAACGACUCCUCACAAGGCCCUCCUCGACACAUGGAGGCAUGACACAAGGGUCGGGGAAGCGGAGACGGAGCAGGCCCGUCCCGAGCACUACACACCCUCCUGCACCAGCACAUCGCACCGACCGCCCACCCCGGCCGAGGGUCGCCAGGAGAUCAACUCCGCAGCAUCGGCCACACCGCCGGAGGCCCAACUGCCGCUGGCAGACCACCGGGGCUUGUCACGGCACCCCAGCAGGGAAAAACUCGGCCUCCACGAGUACCCAAGUUUGUGGCAUAAGGAUGCAGAUCCCACACAAGGCACGGGGCCAGAGGGAAGCCUCACUGUCCUCGCAGCGUACCCGCACUCCAAAGUACAUCCAGGUACCAGUCACUCUCAUUGCCACGAGAGGGAUCGGCUGAAGACACGCGCCGCGACUUGAGACGGGGUCUGGGGAUGUGCCUUCCACCCGGACCAGCACCUAAGGAGAAUCGAGCCUCCGCGGCUGAACACUGCUAGACCCGCAUAAAUGGACACUAUCACAGAACUAACGCUGUAUGACUCAGUCCAGCUCCUGCCAGAGACUCUCAUACCUGCGGAAAUCCACAGCACACAUUAAGAGUCCUAUGGUGGCAACUAGCCUGAAACGCAACUUAAGUAACUAUACAAUGCCUGUUCAUUGAUAUGCCUUAUAACAUGACAACUUGCCUUACCGCAUUUGAAAAGGCUUAUAUGUCUAUUGACACAAGCCUGAUGUCCUAACGUGCCUUACCACCUCAGACAUGCUAAAUAAGCCUGUAGUACAUUUAACUGUAUAAGCUUACAACUAUGCAACCAUUUUUUGCUGCGUUACUUAGUUAGCAUGUUACCAACCGGAUCAUAUGAUCCAUAGCUUGUAUUUUCAAACUAAUGAGUCAAAGAUACACAUCUGGCAAAGCAACUGUUUUAGUAUAUCUUGAACCUUGAUGUUUAACCUACUCUGUGCAUAGACACCUCUGGCUUGAGGAUGCUACACAAGACUGUAUGCCUCUCUUUUUCCACAUAUUUAGAAUAUUGUUUAAGCCUAGCAUGUUAAUAUACUGAACCCUUUGGUAUAGCAUAUCGUUUAAAUCUAUUAACAUACACAGUAGGCGUGCCUCUAAUCACCCAGCUUGCACAACGCAGAGUAAUGUUACCUCUGCUUGAUUAACAAUCAGUUUAUCCACUUAUUGUGCCUUUAAUGAACAGGACCUUGUGAUCCAUAGCUUGUAUCUUCAACAUAUAGAAACAACAAAAAUUUUAAAAAUGAGGCAUCGCUACUCUGGAAAAGUAACUUAAUAUUGCUAAACGAUGUAGCAACCCUAUGCUGUAAAUCACUUGUACUUUUCCCUUGCUCUUCUUCUGUACCCCAUCUUAUAUGCCUUCAAUAAAAAAAAAGAUUGACAAAAAAAAAUAAAAAAAUAGUCCUAAGAGGAAAGGUUCUCGGCUGUCAUGUAACCUUGGAAUGUGCAUGCAUGAUCAUCUGCAACGCACCCGUGUUGCCAUCAAGAAUCAGGGCAGAGACUUUGGAGCCAUAAGAAAGCUAUGGUGACAGCAGCAGGAGUCAGUGUGAAAACCAGAACAUUUGGCUGCCAGAGGGCAUGGGGACGAUUGUGGCAGCUCCAGCAUGCGCACAAGCCACGCCAGAACGCUCUACACCUAAGCACACCGUGACACACUCCCAACCACAUCUGGGAUAUUGCCAAAGUGGUUCCCUUUACUUUGAGAAGGGGACAGAACUUAAUUGUAGUUACUGGUUUAUAUACCCGGUUUUAUUCUUCAGUUUAUUUCUUAUUAUGGAUACUACACAUUCUGUAUCUCCAUUUGUUUGAAGUCCUCAUAAGUACUUUUAUUAAUUAACCUUCUUGCACCCUCCCAACAUCUAGCAGACACGUCCUUUUACUUCCUGGUUUGGUUAGCUCAGUGAAGCUAAUCUCAAGUGGCAGCAAUUGCUCAGAGCACCUGUCUUGUAAAGACUUAUCACUGAGCUGCAUUGGGAAGUCUGUUAUUGGACAGUCACAGAAAGUCUGGGUGGGGUUGUAAGUGGAGAGUUACAAAGGCUGAAGACAAGAACACUGCAGUUGAUUUUAGAUCUGUUUUGAUUGAGGGUAUAUCUACUAAACAGUGAUUUGUAUUUAUUUUAUUUGGGCAGUGGAGUGUCCACCAUACACAACAUCUACAUCUAACACAGCUAUCAUCUCUAACCAGCCUAGACUGCUUAGAUAAAAAACAGCACCUUUUAAAACUUACAGCAGAUACCCGUGCCACCAGAUAUGAAUGGUGCUGUGUAAGCACACCGUAUUAAAGCUGGUUUGUUUUUUGCUAAUACGAAUAUCUUAAAAAUGUCUUAUAUUUUCUUUGCAGUGCCUCACAUGCUCAAAUUAGAUAUAUGUAGAAUCAUAUUAGUUACAAACUUCUCUUAAUGCAUUAUUAUUAUGAUAUUGUGAGUACCCAUGUCAAGCAUCCCUACAAAGUUUGCAAAACAAUCUCCUUCAGCCAAAGGCCCACACAUCAGGUGAGGGUGAAUGAUCCCCGUGGCAGAUCCACCUGGAAUCUAUCUUUUACAUGCUGACACCUGCUGGUGAAGGAGGAGCAUUGCCACAGUCUAACACUAAACUGAUACAAUUAAGAAGCCAAGUUCAGGCUUGUUAUCUGAAGACAGAUAUUGACAAACAAAAGCAUCGCUGGUAUUUUGUCUUCCAUGUUUUAUCCAAAAGAGUAGAAACCCCUGUCAGUUGAAAAAUAAAUUGUUCUUAAAAUUUCCCAGUGAUGGUGAUCAUUUACAAAGGGCAAAAUGUGCUCAAAUUAAAAACAGUAUGUAGAAGAUAUGCUGGAUUUUUGCCAGGACCUCACUAAAAUGGCUGAGCAAAGAAGCUGCAAUGGAACAAGUGCCCAAUGAGCUUUACGAGGACACCUAGAUGGGUUAUGGUUUUAAUUCUAUUUGUAAAAUGUAUUUUAAGAUCCCAUAAGGCUGCUUCAAACCAUCUGCUAAAUUACCAAGGUCAUGUGACUAAAAGUAACCAAUAGGAACUUUUUGAAAGCAUUCUUAAAACCAUUUAAACUUUGUGGUACAUUGUAACAAUUAUAUAUUGUUCACAAAUUGCUUUUAAUUAUAAAAGACGUCCCUUUCAGUGGGAUCUGCAAUGCAUUUAGUACCAUUGCUGAAUUGAUCUACAGAGAAUAUUUCUUGAACAUGCUGCAAAUUUGGAUUUAUCCUGGUUUAAUAUAUAUGUUACCGUUAAAGUGAGAAAUCAGUUAAUGUGCACAUUACCUAGUUAAUCUGCAGAUUAACUGAUUUGCUCUGUUAAAGUGCGGAAUCAAGGGUUUUCCGCACCUUACCUAGGUAAUGUGCACAUUAACUGCUUCCGUCUAGUUAAAGUGCAAAACAUUUGUUUCUUUCCCUCGGUAAAUAGGAAAUUAUUUAUUACAAAAACGUCCUCGCAGAACCUGUUUCACCCUUUCAGUGCAGAAGUUGCAGAGUCGUUCACUUCUCGUCUGAAGGCAGAAAGAUUCUGUGUGAACCUGUUUUGAUUCUUUUUGUGAGCAAGUUCCUUUCAAUUCCCUCCACCAUCAAAUUCUCAAAGCAUAGAUGCAUGGCUUGUUGCUUCUCAGAGGGGAGGUGGCUACUAACAAUGCUGCUCAGUAAGUCACAGAAAUACUUCUCUCAUUGAGGAGAAUGAGACCAUGGAGAGGUCUGCUCAUGGACCACUGAUUCCGGCAGUCUUCAAAUAUAUGAUGAUAUUGAGAACAGUGGAGAGCAUCUGCUGGGAUUAUUUCAGGGUGUUGCCUCAUAAUGUGCAGGAAGCGCUUGCUCUCUUGUGGUGGUGGGGGCUCCUCGUUUCUUACCAGUUUGCGAUAACUGUUUGAAGAGGUAUGUGACUAUGUGGUCCAGACAAGAAUAGAACAGCAGCCUGUGUCCUCCAGAGCUGUGAGCCCCUCAGAGAGAUGGAGGACAGAAUGAUUUUUUUGCACUUUAACGAGUGCCUAGUAGGUAAUGUGCAGAUUAUCUAGGUAAUUUGCAGAUUACCUAGGUAAUGUGAGAAAUAUUUGAGAAAAUAAAUCAUUUUCUGCACUUUAACUGAUCGCCCUAGUUAAUCUGCAGAUUAACUAGGUAAUGUGCACAUUAACUGAUUUCUGCACUUUAACUGUAACAUAUAUACACAUGUACAUUGGCAUUCCAACCGAACGGUAAGAUUUGUCUUUUUGUGAGUGUAUCACUUAUAAACCUUUUCCCCCAUCCCACUUGUGUUACUGAAAGUAAAAACACAUUGAUAUACACACAAUUUUUAUUUAUUAAUUUUACAUAUAUAUGUAUAUAUUUAUUAUUAUUAUUUUUUUAAAUAUUGUAGAAUAAAGUAUUGUGUUUUUAGCAUACAUUUUUUGGUGUGCAUUAUUUUCUACAUUUGAUGUUGAUAUAGUUGGUAUUUAAAGGGAGCUCUGAGUGAAUUAAUGCAUGCUUACAUUAAUUAUUGAUAUAUGGACUGCUGUUAGUGUGCUCUGCACUGCAUGUUAUAUAUAAUCUGGUCUGGUGUCAUAUCACACACUAGUGAAUACAAUUAUAAUCCAUCUCAGACUUGUGAUAUGAUGUGCAAGACAGUGAACACUAUGUGAAAUAAUCUUACGACACAUUUAAAGUAAUUCUGGAGCAAAGUGGUAAAACAUUUUUUUUUAUCAAACUCAGGAGUUAUCAUGUACUUCUACAUCUCAGGUGUUGAGUUGUGUAGCGUGGAAAGCUGGCUACUGUGUUAGCUCUACACCACAAUACUGCCCAACCAUACUACAUUCACAGUUGGGAGCUGAGCAGGAGCUAUUAACCCCAAACUCUAAUUUGUCUAAAUCCCUAUUCAAAAUCCCCCUAACCUUAGAGCCCCAUGAAUGUAAUUAGUCAAACCAUAAUUUUUUUAAACUUUUCUGUUGUAACCCUAAUUUUCCAACUCCAAUUCUACUAACCAAAAACCCCGGUUAGCUAAUUCUUAAAACCAUAAUUCAUAAGCCCUGAAUGCGGCUCGGUCACCUCUGGACACUGUAUCAGUAUUUCACAACAAUAAAAUCUUUGUGACUGUUCUAUUUCCUUGAAAUUCAAACACAAUCAAAACAUGUCAAAAGAGAAAUGAGGUACUACUUUAUCUUAUGAGCAAAGUCCAGAAUAACAGCUGAUAAAAGAUGGAGCUUCUAUGGUCAAUGAUGGUCAUUUACGACAACCUUUCCACUGCUAGUGAUGGCAAUGGAAAAGAGGUAUGUAUUUGUGCAUUGCUUUAACUGGUCUAUGGAGGGCUCUGGCAGGAUCUCACUCAAUGCAUGGAUGCCAACUUUGGGGGUCUUUUGUGAAGACCCCUGAAAAGUGACAGUCACAUGAAGCUUAAAGGAACACUCUAGUGUUAAAAAUACAAAUGUGUUUUCGUUAUACUAUAUUUGUUAAAACACCAUUUAGGUGACCACCCCCCUCCCCCACCCCCACUUGCCUGCAUUUAAAAAAGGUGUUAAACUCCGCCUCCUUGGCCACGAUCAAACUUGAAGAUCUAAGGCAAUCCAGUGCUUUUCCAUAGGGAAUCAUUGGGAGGUUACAGCGCACAGCACCCACGCUGCGCCAAUCAGCAUCUCCUCCUAGAGAUGCACUGAAUCAAUGCAUCUCUAGGAGGAAUGUUCAGUGUGUGGAGACACUAACCCAGGAAGCACCACUUCAAGUGGCCGUCUUGAGUGACUGUCACUAGAGGUGUUCAUAGGCAGAAAUGUAAACACUGCAAUUUUCUGAAAAGCCUGCAUGGACUGUCUAUACUCACCAGAACAACUACAUUAAGCUGUAGUUGUUUUGACGACUACAGUGUCCCUUUAAAAACAUGUUUCUGUUAUUUUAAAUGUCUAUCUUUUAUACCUGGUCACUGACAGGCCCUAAACAGAUGAUUUAGAACUAGUUUAGGAUAGAAAGGCGAUUUGUUUAGUCUCAUCCAACAAUGUAUACCUGCUAUAAAAUAAUUAAAUUGAAAGUGAGGCUUACCGUUUACCACCUCCUACACUGUUUAUUCAGGCCAAGGGGCAGGGAAGUGAAUCCCCUUACACAAUGCACAAAAAAAAAUUUAAAAAAAAGACAUUUGUAACAUGUACAGCAAGCAUGUCAAACUCGCGGCAUGGGCAUCUUUGCGGCCCGGUGAGCCGCGAGUACAUGCUUAGUGUUAUAGCAGAGUAGGCACUUGCUUUUCCCACAUUGCAGGUACCUUCUCUGCUAAAACUUACCCGGCCAGGGAGGAGGGCCAACGAGGUAGCUCAGUGUUCCUGCUCCCUCGCGCACGCUGUCUGUAGUGAAGCCAGUCGCCAGAAUAUGAAGUCAUAUUCCGGCGCUCUGCAUCACUAAACCGCGCGAGGGAGCAGUAAGUAACAGAUAGAAGAUCCCUACUGGGCCCCAGGGAGAAGCCCCACAUAAGCUCCCAAAGGUAGGGAGCAAUAAAGAAAAUGAUGUGUGUGCAAGGAUGUGUAAAUAUGUGUGUCUGUCAGUGAGUGUGUGUGUCUGUUUGUGUCUGUCUGUGAGUGUGUGUGUCUGUCAGUGAGUGUGUGUGUGUUGGUCAGUGUUGCAAUGGCUGCGACUGGACAGUGGAGUACCCGGAGGUGCAUGGAGGCACGCAACGCCAUGUCACAUUCCGACGUGACAUUGACAUGCUCCACCUUCACAGGGUUUCAAGAAGUAGCGGGAGUAUCAGACUAGGUAUAGGGUGCGGACGGCGCCAUUAGGGGUAUACCAGAGGCCUGACUCCGGAGUCGCAUACUGGCAGCGGCAAUGUGAGUGGAGUCUGCUUGUUGGCUAGAGGGGGUACUGGGAUUUAGUAUAUGGGGGGGCGACGACUGGGAUUUAAUAGAGAGGGGUGCUGUGGUUUAGUAGAGGGGGAUGCGGGUUUUUUUUUAUACUGUACUUUUCAAAACAAACCUACGUUUCUAAGAAAAUGUAAGGUUUUUUUUUUUGCGGCCCACAUAAACUUAAACCUUGUUUAUGUGGCCCGUGCUAGACUUUGAGUUUGACAUGCUUGAUGUACAGCACUGAGUAUACUAGUAUACAUAGUACACAUAUUCUAAGCAGCUCUGUUUAAUGUCACACACAAAAAGUACACAGUAUGGAGUAGAAUGGUUCACGACAGGUUUAUGAAGUUGCAAUUCAGUAAUAACUACAAGUUAACACGUUGUAGAGUUUUAGUUAGGAUGUCCAUACAUGUAAGCAGAGUAAAUAUUACAUUUUUAUACUGUGAUAAAACCCACAGCAAAUCGUUAGAGCAAUAGGCAAUAACCUUUUAAGGUUAUCAUUGAAAAUAGAAUUAAAAAAAAAUAAAAAACGACCAAAUUGGACAAAUAAAACACAGAGAAAUGGAAAUUCCAAAUGCCUUUUACUGAUAAUUUUAACUCUUUAAUACCUUAUCACAAGAAGAGUCUGUGUAGUGACUCACAAUAAUUGCCCAUAAAGAGAUCUACUACUAAUCCUUAUUCAACAAUGAAUUAGCCAGAACUGCAAGAAAUGUUUGUGUAAAUCACUUCUGUUCAAGCUCUGGAUAUACGAAUAAAAAAAGGUCACACUGUAUAAACAUAUUAUUGCAAAAUAUGGAGUCAUUUCCAGACCGUGUAAAGGCUGAGGUCUUUUUACCCUGAGACUUUAUUAUAAUCAUGUUCUGCUGAAAAAUGUUGCCAAAUACUUUAUUUUCAGCAGUUAUUAAACUAGUCUUAGAGUGCCCCCAAGUGGCAUUUUGUAGGAACGGAGUGUUCAGUGAUGUUAGGUUGGUUUCUAUUUCUUCUUUAUAAAGAACAGAUAGUAGCAUGGAGCAAGUUGUGUCACUGUGUUGUUACACUGAAUACACAAUGCAUGUAAAUGCCUAUGGAUUUGCUGUAGUGAGCACAUUUUGUAUGAAGCACCUGUGGAUACUACUGGGAAUGAACUGCUACUGUGAGUUUAGUAAAUAGUAAGGCCAUUCAUUUGUUUCCUUGUCUAAGAUUCACUAUGAUCACUUUAUUAAGGGUUGCAUUAAUAAAAAAUAAACAUCGUGAGUGUUAGUGACAAUUUCAAUGCAUGCUUGAAUACACAAUACAGAGCACACAUGUACACUGGCAUUCCAAUCAAACGGUAGAAUUUAAAAAUGUUUUGGUAUAUCACUUAUAAACCUUUCCCCCAUCACAUAUUGCUUGUAAUAAAAGACGUCCCUUUCAGUGGGAUUUUCAAUGCAUUUAGUACCAUGGCUGAAUUGAUCUACAGAGGAUAUUUCUUAAACAUGCUUCAAAUUUGGAUUUAUCCUGGUUUAAUAUAUACACAUAUGUACAUUGGCAUUCCAACCGAACGGUAACAUUUGUAAUUUAUUUUUGGUGUAUCACUUAUAAACCUUUUCCCCCAUCCUGCUUUUGUUAGUGAAGUACAAACACAUUGAUAUACACACACUUUUUAAUUUCAUUUUACACACCGAUGUCCACACCUCCCGUACUAUUGUCUAAGGAAAAGCUACAGAGGAGCCUCAUUACUGGAGUUCAGUAUGGAGUUGCAGGGAUCACUCUGUACACUGACUGCACAGCUCCCAGUGCAUGCAGCAGCUCUAUGUGAAUGCCAGUGUUCUCUCAUUUCCCUAAAACUGUCAGAAGCCUCGUCCCAGUCAAUUCCAGUGACGCAGAAUUAGCCGUUUCAUCACGAUGUCAUACUGCUCAUGCGUGCAAGUACACACACCUCCCAACCAGCUCAAAUGAGAUAGCCAAACCUAAACUUUAUAUUGGUUUCUUUACGUUUGGAGAUCCCAAUUGAGCUGAUAGGGAGUUGUGCGCGCUCGCGCGUGAGUAGUACAUGAACCUGCGGUGAAACAUCUGAUUCCGCGUUCAGCUAUGAAAAUCUGGCCCUCCCCACUAAAUAAAGGGUUAAAAACCCUUUUGUUUACUUACCUGAUCCCAGCACGAUCCCGCCCCCUCCGACGAACAGGCGCUAGUGAUCUCCCAUAGAAAAGCAUUGAAUCAAUGCUUUCCUAUGGGGAAAAAUCUGACGCUGUACCCUCAUACAGAGCAUGAUGACGUCAGUGCAUGAGGAUGUCCAGCAUCAGAUACCAGACCAAAGGUCCGUGUCGAUUCAGGAUGCCCUCUAGUGGCUGUAGACAGCCACUGUGAGCAGACUUAGUGCUACAAUGUAAACUAGGUGCAAAAUGGACUCUGCACCCAGACCACUUCAAUUAUCUGAAGUGGUCUGGGUGCCUAUAGUGUCCCUUUAAUGAAUAUUGGUGCUGAGAUUUCAGGUGACAGGAGGAUAAAGCACAGUUAUUAUGAAUUAAACAUAUAAGACACAGAGAGGUCUGUAGUAAAAUCUGCAGUCACAUAAUAUAUGAAAAACAUAUUAAAACAAUAUAUAUAUAUAUAUCUCAGCAACAAGGCAAAACAGUGCUGCAUAUCACAAAAGAUCCUGUAGGGGAGAAACCUUGUAAAAAUAAGAGAAAUGUCCAUUAAUUUAAACUCACACCUUGGUGAAAUUACAAUAGUACAUACUUUGCAUAAUAAACUACCUAAUAAUAACCCAGUCUAUCUAUAUUCCUGACAGCCAGUGUUUCUGAUAUGAAAUCAUUUUAGUUCUAGAACUCAUGUACUGGACCUCCAGCUCCUGACUGGUUCUCAAUAUACUUCUAACUGAUUAAGAACUCGUACAGGGUUUUGUAAACAGGGCUCUUUUUACAUGUGCAGAACCUUCUCUCUAUUAUUUGUUUAAAGGUUGCCUUUUCUGGCCUUCUCUAUGGCCCAUUCUGAUUGUAUUGGCUCCUGUUUAGUUGAUCCCCUGAUUCUCAAUCCUGCUCUAUUCUCUCUAGCUGAGCUGGCCCUGUUUGCAGGCCACAUGCACAUCCAGGCUGAUGGUACUCACUGUGACAUGUGUAAUGACAUCACAAAGCUGAUGUAGCAGCUACAAUGCUUUACAUCACAUUGUCAGUGCCACCAUAUAAGGGAUUGCUAUGGCUAGGGAGAAUAAUGCACAAUUAGGUACAGUAUCUAAUUGUAUAUACAUCCAUGUCAUUAGAAUAUAAUAGAAUCAUUUGAUAAAGUAAGUAAGCAUUAAUAAUGGGUUCUUAGAAAUGCAAGACGUUAACUUGUGUCCUGUAUACAGAUUCACAGAGAUACUUUCCAAUUGACUUAGGUAAAUGGUUAGGAGAUUAUAUCUUUAUAACUCUUCUUAAAUGUAGUAUUUCUGGAGUACAGCUUUUUUUAAAAUCCUAUUUAUAAACAAUUUCCUUCUAACAUUCAUUUUUAGAUAGAAGUUCCAUGACGUCCAGCAUCACCCAAAACCCUAUAGGAAAGCAUUUAUAUUCAUAAAACUGGCUUGAAAAAAGAAUGUUUAUUUUCAAGCAAGUUUUAUGAAUAGGGAUUCAAUGAAUGACUGUGAACGUCAGCUGAUCUCUCUCAGCCAAUCAGCAGUACCGCUGCCAGAUUCUGCAAGAGCCUUCCGGUUUAGAAUUUUUUAGAAAACUGAAGGGAAGAGAGUCAGGGAGAUUUGGAACUGGAACACAGACUUAAGGGUUAAACCGUUCGAUAAUGGUUUAAUCCCAAAAGGUGAGACAGAGCCAGGGAUGUUCUGGCACCAUAACAAUAUUAUUUUGAUGAAGUUGUUAUGGUGCCUAAACUUUACCUUUAAAAACCUUGUUACCAUGUAUAUUUAUCUAAGACAAAACUCAACGUUUUGGGAACACUGAGAACGAGCUCUUAGUCUCGCUGAGAUCUUAAACGUUUUAUGUGACUUGUACCAUUACAAAAUCUACAACAUUUGCAUAUCAGACUGACUUGAUCCUCAAGGGCAGUCUAAAAUGAAAAUGCAGUCAGGUUCCCUCUAUAUGAGAUAUAAAGCAACCCCAGGCAAUCAUUUUGGACUUACAAAUGGUACUGGUUACCUCUGCAAUGUCAUUAGUAAGCUAAAACGUGUCGGAUAGUGGUGACUAGAUGAGUGGAAAGCUUUUCCCAUUGUCAUUGUUUUCAUAAAUUCUGUUUUUGACUUAUAUGCUUAUGAUUAUGGUCUCCCCAAAUUAAAAGGGUAAUCCAGGCAUUGAGCCCUUGCUCUUUCUGCUUAGAGAGGUAUCGCCUACACCUCACUGAUGAGACCAAAGAUGGCCAUAACAACACUUUUUAGAGGUAGCUGGAUUAUAGUUCAUUUAUCACUAGGAAAGCUAGGGAUUGCAGCAAGGUCACCCCUCCCGAGGAAAAGGUAAGAAGGGAGGGGGGAUAUAAAGUAUAUAUUUUUCCAAUUAAAAAAAUAUACAUAUAUUGCUUUAAUCUGUCCCCCGCUCCCAUACAUAAUACCUCCCAACACACACUGCACCCUUCACACAUACAGCACUACACACACACACACACACACACACACGCUGCACCCCUCUCCCUCCCCUUUCACACACACCCUACACCCAGACAUGCUGCACCCCUCACACACACACACACACACACACUAAAUCACCUACACAACUCUGAAUCCUGUACACAUACACACACUGGAACCCUUAUAGAGACUCUGUGUUCUCCACACACACACAGUAGAUCACCAACAUACAAUAGAUCCCCUAUAGACACACACUGCACCACCUAAACACACACUACACUUCUGACAUACACACUCUGGAUCCCCUAUGAGCACACUACAUUACCUCAAUAACGCUCUUUAAAGCCCCUAGACACACUACAUCACCCACACAAAUACACGCUAUAGUCCCAAUGCACACACUCGCUACAACCCCUAUACACACACUCUCUCUCUCACUCUCCACAGCACCUAGCCACACAUAUUACAACACAACUGAACAGUGGCGGACUGACAACUUACAGGGCCCUCGGGCAAUGGUAGACCAAGAGCCCCCUUCUGGUGCAAAGUUUUUUGGCUACUGCUACUUUUCUCCCCCUACUUUUGUGUGGCUCUCCCACAGAUAUUAUAUGCAUGCUGCAAAGCACCCAUAAUGGCUGCGUGAGAACCACACAGUCAUGACUCCCACCUGCAGGCCUCCAAACAGGGUUUUUGCUUUUAAGAGGUUAAUCCAACCAAAAACAGUAUUACACAGUAUUAAAAAAUAAAACACUGUUUCAGAAUGGAAUAACCCUGACUGGCAUGCCUCAACCCACUAAAAUAAAGAAAUAAAGCCAAUGUAAUUACACACUUUCUCUGUGUUUGCUGGUGACAUCACAAGCAGCGUCCCCCACAUUUGUUUUCAAUCAUACAAGUCCAUGUAAGUAGCCUGUUUGUAGGCUAGUUGUGACGUUCAUUGUGUGGGAUGCUGCUUGUGAUGUGCUGUUCCUGUAUGUCAACGCGUUGUGUUAGAAUUGUUUGUCUUCUUUUACCUAUUGUACUGUGCUGCAAAAUAUGUUGGUGCCAUAUAAAUGGUUGUAAUAAUUGCGUCUGUGUGCGUAAGGAGGCUGUAUGCAGUAUUGCAAUGGUGGGGAUGCUGCUUGUGAUAAGUGUCCAUAGGUGGAUUUGCGUGUGUGGAUGGGUCUCUUUGCAGUGUAGUAUGUGGGUGGAGAUGGCUGGUUGUGUUGUAGUGUGUGCGGUAGGGGCUGUUGUAUGUGUGUGAGAUAGGCUGUAGUAGGUGUGGGGGAUACUGGGGCUGUAGAUUGUGUUUGUAUGGAUAAUAGAGGCUCUACUGUGUGGGGGAUAUAAAGGCUGCAGUAUGUGUGUGUGGAUAGUGGCUGCAGUGUGUGGGAUAUGGGCUGUAGUAGGUGCAGGGGGGGCAUAGGGACUGUAGUAGGUGCAUGGGGGUAUAAUGGCAGAGGUGGGUGCUGGGGGAGAUUGGAGCUGAGGUCGGUGGAAGGGGGUAGGUGCUGGGGGAAAAAGGGGCAGAGCAGUGGCGUACACUUGACCCAUGGGGCCCCGGUGCAAAAAUUGUCCGCCCCUGCAACUGAAACCAAUUUACACAAAACACCACACCACAAUCAGUUCACUCUACACACACACACACACACACACAAUCCCACAACCAGGCUGCAAACACAUGCACAAUACGCUUUCCUGGCCCUUAUGUCCUCUGGAAUGCCACUUAUGGAGACACCAGAGACAAGUCACAAGCAAACACAGCGCAAACAUGUUAAUAAAUUUGCUUGUGCGGCGCAGAACAAAAACAGGGCCUUUUUCUCAUGCGAGAGCAUUUCAGCGGGGCUCUGCACAUUGAACAAACAUGCUCACUUUGAGAAUGGGCAUGUUUGUCAUGGGUGAUGACAAAACACACUCUCUCUGGCCCCGCCCCCUUCUCGGUGGGCCGUUGUGAUGCAAAAAUACCCGGGCCCAAUUUUCCCCAGUCCGGCUCUUACAAUGAAUAACGUAGGCAGUAAACAUUAUCUUUUAUUAAUUUUUUUUAGUGUGCAAGCGAUAACAAACAGGCUUGGUACGCCACGAUAGCUAUAUCAUGCAUGAAAAGACAUUCAAGAGAGGUUAUUUACGUGGUUUACAUAUAAUCUGCACGUUUUAAGUUUAACGUUUGUCAAGAAGGUGGGUAUCUGGAGCUGGCCUGUAUUUCCAAACAACAGGGAUUGUGAGCUCUUGUGACAAGCUGGAAGCAAGCUCUAUACCUAUGUAUGUGUUCUUUAUGCCCCUGUUGCGUACAGCAGUGUAAUGAGUACUAUGAGGGUAGUGCCUGAGGCGAGUAUAGAUAGAGUUCCAACUCUCUGCAGGGGGCAAACUAAAAGAGGAGCUAAUAAAUCCUCAAGUUAUGAGUAGGUCUGGACGGUAGGUGAGCAAGUUAGCUGAUAUCUUUGGGGGUGAGGGUGCUCUGUGGCCCGGUCAGUGUAUGGCUGAUGGUGCCGGUACCUAUGUUGCUACGGUACUGCAGUGAGAGAGCGAGCCGGAUACUGCUCUUGGCUGAGGGGGAGCAAGCGUGGGUAUCGAGGUAACCUUUUUUGAGCAUAUUGGGCUUUUCUCUAACUAAGAGCUAUCUGCACGUCAGAACCUGAACUCAGUGUUCAAUGGUGGGCUUAGUGUUCAUGUGCCAGGAAUGUUAGGGCUAGUCCUUGGGUCAGGAGGGCCACAGGUAUGUGGUGGUGGCCUCUUCUUGCUGCCAGAGCUCCAUCAGGUGCAUAGUUCUCUGCAACAAGUCAUUGGGGCACAAAAGGGAUAGCCGUUGCCGGGUUCCCUAACCCGGAAAGUGGGGAGGUGGUGCGUGGUCCCAUUGGUGGUAAGGAGUCCUUCUGUAGGCCCAGGGUGGGAAGGAGUUCUCUCGCACCCUGCAGGUCGUGGAUGGUGUAUGUGGAGUCAGCCUGAUGUAUUUGCAGCGCGUGUGGUCCCCUCCACUUAUAGUCGAUGUUUUGCGUGCGGAGGAGGGAUGUGAGGGGCUGUAGCGAGCAGCGCCAUACCAGUGUGGACUUUGACAGGUCCGUGUAGAAAGACAUCGACUGGUUUUCAAAUAGGUAAGGAGAUUGAUUGCGCGUUGCUUUUAUCACCGCAAUUUUGUGUCUGGUGCUGGGAAAGCGCACUAGGAGAUCCCUAGGUAGCGUGCUAUGAGCCUUGGCGGGCCUCGGGAGACUGAACAUCCCCUCUGGGUUCUCCUGCUUUGUGUGCUUGGGGUUUAGGAGGGCUGUUAUGAGUCGCCUUACAAAGUGCAGUACCUUGGCCUCCGGCAUCUCCUCUGUGAUCCCCUGGAUCUUAAUAUUUCUGCUUCGCCUCUGGUCUUCUAAUGCUGCAAAUUUUAGGUCGUAUUUAAGGUUCUGCAUCUGCAGUUCAUGUACUGCUUGUUGUAGGUGCUUGAUGUGUUUGGUAUUCUGGUUGGAAUCUUGCUCCAGUAUGUUCAUGCGGCCAGUCAGGCCCUGUAGGUCUUUGCGUAUCUGGGCAAUGUCGGCCUGUAUGGCGAGCUGAACCCACCAGCAGUUCCUUCAGGAUCGCUGUGGUGAGUGGUGGCGAUUCCGGUUGUGGAGGGACCGGGAGAGGCUCUGCCUUUAUUCCGAGCAUAAAAUCAUCUGAAACGUUGGAGCAGUCGUCGGUUAAGGCGGCCAUGUUUGGGCCUAUGGCACCCUGUGCUUGUCUCCAGAAGUCACGAUGCUCAUGUUCUGCGGAGGUUUGUCGGGUCUAGACUUUUUGGUCUUCC